UACGGAGGGGGCUAGCGUUGUUCGGAAUUACUGGGCGUAAAGCGCACGUAGGCGGCUUGGUAAGUUAGAGGUGAAAGCCCGGGGCUCAACUCCGGAAUUGCCUUUAAGACUGCAUCGCUAGAAUUGUGGAGAGGUAAGUGGAAUUCCGAGUGUAGAGGUGAAAUUCGUAGAUAUUCGGAAGAACACCAGUGGCGAAGGCGACUUACUGGACACAUAUUGACGCUGAGGUGCGAAAGCGUGGGGAGCAGACAGG
rnacentral:rRNA from 1 species